rnacentral:rRNA from 1 species
GUCCACUGCUGUAAACGAUGAGUGCUAGACGUUGGGGGGCUUGCCCUUCAGUGUCGCAGCUAACGCAAUAAGCACUCCGCCUGGGAAGUACGGCCGCAAGGUUAAAACUCAAAGGAAUUGACGGGGGCCCCGCACAAGCGGUGGAGCAUGUGGUUUAAUUCGACGCAACGCGCAGAACCUUACCAACCCUUGACAUGGGGAGUAUGGGUUCCGGAGACGGGACCCUUCAGUUCGGCUGGCUCCCACACAGGUGCUGCAUGGCUGUCGU